AUUGAACGCUGGCGGCAUGCCUAACACAUGCAAGUCGAACGGCAGCACGGCAGUAGCAAUACUGUGGGUGGCGAGUGGCGGACGGGUGAGGAAUACGUCGGAAUCUGCCCAAUCGUGGGGGAUAACUAACCGAAAGGUUAGCUAAUACCGCAUACGACCGAGAGGUGAAAGCGGGGGACCGCAAGGCCUCGCGCGAUUGGAUGAGCCGACGUCGGAUUAGCUUGUUGGUGGGGUAAAGGCCUACCAAGGCAACGAUCCGUAGCUGGUCUGAGAGGAUGAUCAGCCACACUGGAACUGAGACACGGUCCAGACUCCUACGGGAGGCAGCAGUGGGGAAUAUUGGACAAUGGGCGGAAGCCUGAUCCAGCAAUGCCGCGUGUGUGAUGAAGGCCUUAGGGUUGUAAAGCUCUUUUACCAGGGAUGAUAAUGACAGUACCUGGAGAAUAAGCUCCGGCUAACUCCGUGCCAGCAGCCGCGGUAAAGUAGU
rnacentral:rRNA from 1 species